rnacentral:rRNA from 1 species
UACAGAGGUCCCAAGCGUUGUUCGGAUUCAUUGGGCGUAAAGGGUGCGUAGGCGGCGCGGUAAGUCGGGUGUGAAAUCUCGGGGCUUAACUCCGAAACUGCAUUCGAUACUCCGGAGCUGGAGUCCUGGAGAGGAAGGCGGAAUUCUCGGUGUAGAGGUGAAAUUCGUAGAUAUCGAGAGGAACACCGGUGGCGAAGGCGGCCUUCUGGACAGUGACUGACGCUGAGACGCGAAAGCGUGGGGAGCAAACAGG